rnacentral:rRNA from 1 species
UACAGAGGGGGCAAGCGUUAUCCGGAUUCACUGGGUUUAAAGGGUGCGUAGGCGGACAGGUAAGUCAGUGGUGAAAUCUCUGGGCUUAACCCAGAAACUGCCGUUGAUACUAUUUGUCUUGAAUAUCCUGGAGGUAGGCGGAAUAUGUCAUGUAGCGGUGAAAUGCUUAGAUAUGACAUAGAACACCGAUAGCGAAGGCAGCUUACUACAGGAUGAUUGACGCUGAGGCACGAAAGCGUGGGGAGCAAACAGG